GACGAACGCUGGCGGCGUGCUUAACACAUGCAAGUCGAACGAUGAAGCCGGAGCUUGCUCUGGUGAAUUAGUGGCGAACGGGUGAGUAACACGUGAGUAACCUGCCCUUGACUCUGGGAUAACUGCGGAAAACUGUAGCUAAUACCGGAUACGACCCUCGGAGGCAUCUCCUGGGGGUGGAAAGAAUUUCGGUCAAGGAUGGACUCGCGGCCUAUCAGCUAGUUGGUGAGGUAACGGCUCACCAAGGCGACGACGGGUAGCCGGCCUGAGAGGGUGACAGGCCACACUGGGACUGGGACACGGCCCAGACUCCUACGGGAGGCAGCAGUGGGGAAUAUUGCACAAUGGGAGCAAGCCUGAUGCAGCAACGCCGCGUGAGGGAUGACGGCCUUCGGGUUGUAAACCUCUUUUAGCAGGGAAGAAGCGAAAGUGACGGUACCCGCAGAAAAAGCACCGGCUAACUACGUGCCAGCCGCCGCCGUAA
rnacentral:rRNA from 1 species